GAGCACGUAGGUGGGUUUGUAAGUCAGAUGUGAAAGCCUUCUGUUCAACGGAAGAAUUGCAUCUGAAACUGCGAGUCUUGAGUGUAGGAGGGGAGAAUGGAACUUCUGGUGGAGCGGUGAAAUGCGUAGAUAUCAGAAGGAACUCCGGCGGCGAAAGCGAUUCUCUGGCCUAUUACUGACACUCAGUGUGCGAAGGCUAGGGGAGCAAACGGGAUUAGAUACCCCGGUAGUCCUAGCCGUAAACGAUGGGCACUAAGUAGAGGGGUUUU
rnacentral:rRNA from 1 species